CCUACGGGAGGCAGCAGUGAGGACUAUUGGUCAAUGGCCGGAAGGCUGAACCAGCCAUGCCGCGUGAAGGUCAGUGCCCUAUGGGCGUUAAACUUCUUUUGUGCGGGAGCAAUAAUGGUCACGUGUGGCCAGACGAGAGUACCGUACGAAUAAGCAUCGGCUAACUCCGUGCCAGCAGCCGCGGUAAUACGGGGGAUGCAAGCGUUAUCCGGAUUUAUUGGGUUUAAAGGGGGCGUAGGCUGUGAGGUAAGUCAGCGGGGAAAUGCCCCCGCUCAACGGGGUGAAGUGCAAUUGAUACUGCCUUGCUGGAAUGCGGAUGCCGUGGGAGGAAUGUGUGGUGUAGCGGUGAAAUGCAUAGAUAUCACACAGAACACCGAUUGCGAAGGCAUCUCACGAAUCCGCGAUUGACGCUGAUGCACGAAAGCGUGGGUAUCAAACAGGAGUAGAUACCCUUGUAGUC
rnacentral:rRNA from 1 species